UACGUAGGUGGCAAGCGUUGUCCGGAUUUAUUGGGCGUAAAGCGAGCGCAGGCGGUGACUUAAGUCUGAUGUGAAAGCCCACGGCUCAACCGUGGAAGGUCAUUGGAAACUGGGUCACUUGAAUAUAGAAGAGGAAAGUGGAAUUCCAUGUGUAGCGGUGAAAUGCGUAGAUAUAUGGAGGAACACCAGUGGCGAAGGCGACUUUCUGGUCUAUUAUUGACGCUGAGGCUCGAAAGCAUGGGUAGCAAACAGGAUUAGA
rnacentral:rRNA from 1 species